GGGGUAACCUGCCUCAAAGAGGGGAUAGCCUCCCCGAAAGGGGAGAUUAAUACCGCAUAAUAUGUUUAGGUCGCAUGACUUUAACAUCAAAGGAUUUUUCUUUUAGAAAUUCCACUUUGAGAUGGACCCGCGGUGCAUUAGCUAGUUGGUGAGGUAACGGCUCACCAAGGCAACGAUGCGUAGCCGACCUGAGAGGGUGAUUGGCCACAUUGGAACUGAGACACGGUCCAGACUCCGUAGGG
rnacentral:rRNA from 1 species